rnacentral:rRNA from 1 species
AUUGAACGCUGGCGGCAGGCCUAACACAUGCAAGUCGAACGAGCGGCGGACGGGUGAGUAAUGUAUGGGGACUGCCUGAUAGAGGGGGAUAACUACUGGAAACGGUGGCUAAUACCGCAUACUAUCGGAUAACCCAUAUGGGAUUAGCUAGUAGGUGGGGUAAAGGCUCACCUAGGCGACGAUCGCUAGCUGGUCUGAGAGGAUGAUCAGGCACACUGGGAACGAGAAACGGCCCAGAUCCCAAGGGAGGCAGGAGUGGGGAAUAUUGCACAAUGGGAGGAAGCGUGAUGCAGCCAUGGCGGGUGGAUGAAGGAGGCCUUAGGGUUGGAAAGUAGUUUUAGCGAGGAGGCGUUACUCGAAGAAGAAGCCCAGGCUAACUCAGUGCCAGCAGCCGCGGUAAUUC